rnacentral:rRNA from 1 species
GAUGAACGCUGGCGGCGUGCCUAAUACAUGCAAGUCGAGCGAACAGACGAGGAGCUUGCUCCUCUGACGUUAGCGGCGGACGGGUGAGUAACACGUGGAUAACCUACCUAUAAGACUGGGAUAACUUCGGGAAACCGGAGCUAAUACCGGAUAAUAUAUUGAACCGCAUGGUUCAAUAGUGAAAGACGGUUUUGCUGUCACUUAUAGAUGGAUCCGCGCCGCAUUAGCUAGUUGGUAAGGUAACGGCUUACCAAGGCAACGAUGCGUAGCCGACCUGAGAGGGUGAUCCGCCACACUGGAACUGAGGCACGGUCCAGACUCCUAAGGGAGGCAGCAGUAGGGAAUCUUCCGCAAUGGGCGAAAGCCUGACGGAGCAACGCCGCGUGAGUGAUGAAGGUCUUCGGAUCGUAAAACUCUGUUAUUAGGGAAGAACAAAUGUGUAAGUAACUAUGCACGUCUUGACGGUACCUAAUCAGAAAGCCACGGCUAACUACGUG